rnacentral:rRNA from 1 species
UUGGAGGGCAAGUCUGGUGCCAGCAGCCGCGGUAAUUCCAGCUCCAAUAGCGUAUAUUAAAGUUGUUGCAGUUAAAAAGCUCGUAGUUGAAUUUCGGGAUCAGUACGCCGGUCGUGCCUUCGGUAUGUACUGGUGUCACUGAUUCCUCCCUUCUGACGAACCGUUAUGCCAUUUAUUUGGUGUGGCGGGGAAUCAGGACUGUUACUUUGAAAAAAUUAGAGUGUUUAAAGCAGGCUCGCGCUUGAAUACAUUAGCAUGGAAUAAUGAAAUAGGACGUUUGAUUCUAUUUUGUUGGUUUCUAGGAUCGACGUAAUGAUUAAUAGGGAUAGUUGGGGGCAUUAGUAUUCAAUUGUCAGAGGUGAAAUUCUUGGAUUUAUUGAAGACUAACUACUGCGAAAGCAUUUGCCAAGGAUGUUUUCAUUAAUCAAGAACGAAAGUUAGGGGAUCGAAGACGAUCAGAUACCGUCGUAGUCUUAACCAUAAACUAUGCCGACUAGGGAUCGGGAAUGAAUGGU